CCCGCCUUUUCCCAAAUUUCGUGUUUCACCCUUGGGGGUUGUUCCUAAGAAAGCCCUGGGGGAAUAUCGCUUAAUAGCAAAUUUAUAGCCUAUAUAAAUUUAAGUUAAUGAGACAAGGUGUGAUGGUAAGAUGAGGAGGUAGAUGUGGUUUAUAUCAACCUAAUCUUUGACAGUUAGGUCUAAGGUCUUGACAGAUAGGUCAAAGAUCAUCUUCUGCCAGCUAGCACACAUUCACGUGAACAAACCGUGAAACACACUGUGAACCAAUUGAAAACCUUGUACGACUCUGUUCUGUGCUUUGACCAAUCAUAGGGCACAACACAGCCCAUCCUAAUUGGCACAUAACAUGCACGAGUUCAUGCAAAAUAACGUAAUUUACUCUGAGAUGUCGACAGAGUAACAUUAUCGAAAGAUUUUCAAAAUAUAACUCUACCGCGGGCAAGCGCUUUUUACUCUUCUGGUGGACAAAGGAAUAUGUUGGCUCAAGUACCGAUAUGUGAUUCAGUGAGACGUAGUUUAUUCAAACAUAACUCUGCCACGGCCCACGGGCAAGGACUUGUACUCGUCUGGUGGACAAAAGAAUACGUUGGCUCAAGUAUCGAUGUACGAUCCAGUGAGACGCAGUUUAUGCUGUUUAUCCAAUAUAACUCUACCGUGGUCAAGUGCUUUAACUCUUCUGGUGGCGCAAUGAAUACGUUGGCUCAAAUACCGAUGAAGUUAUUUCCAUUUAAUGAAACCGCCGCUGGGGGAAUUAUAACAAGAUCGAGAGGCUACAUAAACACGAAAUAUUCAACUAGCGUACAUGCUUAAGUGAAACGGAUAUAUUUGGUGCGUAUAUUUAAAAGUUGCGGCGAAUUCACACGUUUGUUUCGUAUUACGCUUUUCAAACCAACCAAAAUGCUUUAACUUCGUCUAUUUUAUCACAGAAUUUGGGUAUAUAUAGUAAUUGUCGAGCGCCAAAUGUAUCGACUAUUCACGCAAAUCAAUCUCAUCUGUAUUUCAAUGUUAAUUUUUUAAUAUUAAUACCACCUUGAGGUUAUAUUGGGCCUCUGAUUUCGUAUUCCACUUCCCAAACCAACCAAAAAUCUACUAAAUUCGUCUAUUUUAUAACGACAUUUACAUUCUGGUGUAUAAUUUCUCGAUCAAAAAUUCCAAUGACAAUUUUAUUACCACCUUCAGGUUAGCCGCUGAUUAGGCUUCAGAUUACGCCUCAGAUUCGGCGUUGGAUUGGGUUUUCAAUCAGCUCUUAUGUUGAACUGUAUUCAAUCGUUCAAAAGUAGACUUAUAAACUUCUUUUUCAGAGCGCACGUUAAUAGUUCACCUGCAUCUAAGGACGUAAACGAGCUUAUAUUCAGUUAAAAAAUUUGCAUAGCCAAAAAUCUCAAAUUUGAUUGGUUACAUAAAGGAUAUGUGCUAAUAAGGUGCAUAAUAGCGACCUAAGUGUAGAUUUUACUGUUACGUACAGAUGAAGAGAAUUAUAUUAUUCAAUAUAUAGAGAGUAAUACAUGGGUGCGCGGAAAUAGCAGAUAAAGAUAUAUAAUUAUGUUGUUAUUAACUGAUCUUAAAAGUAUAGAUCAUUCCGCAUUGAAGUAAUUACUACAAGAUUUAAAAGGACAUGUCACAAUUCGACGUACAUAAAAUUAAUGUUCAAACGUUGUACCAGGACAAAAAUUCCAUUCGCAUUACACGUUGCAUGAAACAAAUUUGGUAGAAUUUGCAUGAAUAUAUGAACUGAACCGUCUACUAAAGAAUGAAAGAAUGAUCGAAUAGAUAUACAAGCGAACUCUUAUGCAACUCAAUGUCAUAACUCGUUCACUCCUUUCAGGCCAAAGCCUUAAUUAAAGGCAAAGCGGCGAGUGAGCUAUAACUGCGGUUUCGUUUAAGCCACAAAAGUUUAACGUGUACAUUUCACAAUGCCGCAACUCACAAUACUGGAUAUACUGUUGGGAUAUAUAGUAGGCCUAUUUUUAAUAUCACUAGACUUAGUUCAUAUACGCAUAACUUAAUUAUAUGUGAACUUUUGUAGUACAGUACAGACUGCAAACACACUAUAACAAACAGUUUGAGCCAUGCCUCCAAGACCAAGAGUGGCAAUCAGACAAGCCCGAAAAUUAAUUUGUCCAGCUGAACGAAAUAUGCUUUGCGAAAUGUACAAUUUUGACUGGCUCGCAGCUCGAGUAUAGGUUUUAUAUUUUUACAAAUUGUUCUUUGUACUAAUAGUAAAGACUAAAGACAAAUUCCAUUGGGCAGAUUAACAGUGGGUUGCGAGCAUAAUCUGUCAAAAUGACUAUGUGCAUAUAUUAAUGAUUUAUUACCUAUAUUUCAUGAUGACCAUGGAAAUUACAAAGCGAAUAACUCAGGACAACAUAUUUAGCAUACAAGAAAUGUAUGCAACAGCCAAUCGAAUCUUGCUAUUUUGCGUUAAGACAGCCAAUAAGAAACAGUGGUUUUGCGUGUCUUUCGUCGAGUUAAUGAUAUUAAUGAGGCUUUGCGUCCCUAGAUGCAGGUCAACUAACAAAACCUAACAUUAAUUGGACCUGCAACAUUGUCAAUACUUUACUGUUCAAAACAUAAGAAAGCAAGCUCAUUUGUUAACAAAAUUUAAGAUUUCAAACUUUGCACAUAUAUAUUUAUUACCAUGCAUGCCUACGCUCAUGAAAAUUGAAAAUCUGUUGAUGUACUAUCAUUUAACUGCAUGAUAUAUUUAAUCUACCAAAUACAUAUUUUACAAUUUCUGCUAAUAUCAUGAAUGCAUGAUUGGAUGUUCGAUCACAACACUGGUUAUAAGCACCUGAAUUGCAUUUUGGCCCUGCUAUUUCGAAUUAAACUAAUGAACAAGCUAUUUUUCUGAGAGUAAUGUCACACCACAACUCAGGAAAGUUCCACCAAUCAUAAUUGAAAUAAACUAAGAGUGGUUAACAAAAAAAAUUUAAAAAAAUGUUGUGCAAAACGUCUUAAUGAACACAUUUACAUUUAAAAAUAAAUAAAUAAAAUAAAUAAUUAUGUGCCUUGAUGGUGAGCUUUGUUUGUCGUGUUACCAACCCUCCAAUUAAGAACUUGUAAGAUAGAAGCUUUGUGGGGAAGCUGCUGGUUGUCUUGGCCCCAUCCAGGUUUCCUGUAUAUUCCAGGUUUUUUCUGGCCUCCCUGAUUAUCCAGCUAUAGUAUGAGUGAUGGUAACGCUCAAAUAUAUGUCUAACUGUCAUCUGGCAGCAGCUGUCUUGCAACUCUAUCUGGGGUAUCAGCCACUUUGACAAAUGUGGUAACCGCUAAGUAACUAACAACGUUUCGGGGGAGGGUUCGUCUAUGGGGAAUACACAUUCUGUGUAUUUGUGGGGAUGAAGUCUCCAUAAAAUGUCAACUUCAGGCCCAUAGACUCAAUAUAUGUCACACAUAAUAUAUCUAAAUUUAAGGACUGGCCAUGGGGGUUUACCCCCCAUGUUCAGGUUAAGGACUGGCCAUAUGGGUUUAGUGCCUUUGGUCAGGUUAAGGACUGUCCAUAGGGGUUUUGUGCUCCGAUUGGUCAGGGUAAGGACUGUCCAUACUGGUGUUUCGUGCUCCAGUUGGUCAGGUUAGGACUGUCCAAGUGAAUCUUGGUCAGAUUAUCAGUGCCAGUUCAGAAUCAGUGCAGCUAAUAGGGUGUGACAUAUGAGUAGGCAUGAUGCUUGUCAUAUACUGUAAAUGGACUCUUCACAACCCCGAACCCCUCUCCCACAAAAAUAAAUGAUUGUGUUUAAUAUUGUGUUUGUCGAGAAAGUGGAGGG